ensembl:lncRNA
CUUUUAUUCUUAGCAUUAUUAUAUAUUACGUUCUUAGUGGUUUUUGCCCAAAGGUAGAAUAAGUAGUUUUGUUGAUAGACAAGAGGUGUCUAAUGAGAAGACUGAAGCCUUCUCAUGGUCUUUGUGUCCUUGACUGUAGACUCAGGUAACCCUUGAUCAUCAGAUUUUCUUACUAUGCCUAAUUCUAUGAGCCACAGAAUUUAUAACCAUAUUCAUUGUUGUCUACCUAAUGAACAUUUUGACAAUCCAUUAUGUACUAGGUCCUGAACUAGGCUGUAGGGCAUAAAUGAAUAAAAUAUGAAUCCUGCUUCAAGGACUUCAUGAUCUGAUAGGUAGGGUAGACAAAUACUUGAAUUAAUGAACAGAGAUUGACCUAAUCUGUCAUAUUGGGGUUAAGAAAGAUUUUAAAGAAGUGAUGUUCAAUAGGGUCUUACAAAUUAAGUAGAUUUUGUCUUUUCUAUUGAGAUAGCAUGGUGGGAGGUGAAAAACAUUCUUUAUAGAAAGGUAUGGCAGCAAUACCCCAGAUGUGGAGGGAAACAGUUGUCUUUUGGGGUUUUUCUUUGGUAAGUUCAUUAAUGAUUAUUCACUUUUGUAUUCAGGCCAUUUAUACCCUGAAGAUUACAUUCAAAAUUCCUGUGUGCUAAGGUUAUCUUAAAAUUUGUCAUCAUGAAUCAGUAGUAUAUCAUUCUAGACUCUAGAGAUUUGGCAUUCUAUCCUAAAGGGCAAGGAAGCAACAGGAAAUGUUUUUCAAGUUACACUUUAAAUAAUGAUGAUAGGAUGUGGAAAGAGAAAAGGAUACCUCUAGCAUUUAUGGGGAAACGUGAAAGCCAGUCAUACAUAACAGGAAUAUGUAAUUCUGCCUAACAAUGAGCUUAUUUGUGAAAUUCCUGGAAAACAAGAAUUACUAGGAACCUGUAGCAAAAUGAAUGAUGGGGUCAUGGGGCAUCCUACUCUUUGUUUUGUAAAUGAUAAGAAAUAUUAUCUAAACAGCAUCUGAGAUAUUUAUUUACUACAUUACAGUAUGCAGCUUAGAAUUCAAUAUAGAGAAAAAUGUUUUAUGUCAAUGGUCUCAGAUUAUGCGCCACAGAUCACUAGUCCUUGGAAGACACCUUAGAGUGGAGGACAUCAGGACACAGAGUUCUCAACUUCUAUCUAGGCUUUAGUCAGAAACUUUGUUUCCAUCCCUUUCCCCAUUACUCUUCUGUGUCACAUUUUUCUCCACUAAAGAUUUGUCAUCUAAAAGUUUUAAAUAGCACUUUUUAAAGUACACUAUAAAGUGAGUGUUGUAACUGUUGUUUUAAUUGAGUGGAAUAGUACUGUGCACAUGCAUAAUGCAGCAUAAUGUACAAAUGCUUAAGACAGAUAGCAGAGCAUACCUUCUUCGAAAAACUCAGCUUAACUCAGAGCUGAGUCAUUGUUCUGAUGAUGCACUUUUAUCAAUUUAAGAGGUACUUUAACUCUUCAGUUUCUGCUGAAAAGGAAUUUAAGCAGAAACACUUAAAUAUUUGAAGUGACUCUACAACCUAUUUUCAUUCAAGUUUAUAAAAAGCUGACCAAAAAGAUUUUUAAAGUCUUUUUAUUAAAAAAAUCUCUGAGAGCAUUUUUCUAUUUUUAGAGUAUGUGUUUGAGAAUAUUUUGGAGUGCAAGUGUAGGAAAUUGAAAGGGCCCAAGAUGUAGACCUAAGAUACAUUCUUGUGUGUGGAAGAGUCACUAGGGCUUUGGGAUGGAACCAUAGCUCAGUUAAAGGAAAGGAAAGUGGCCUAGCCUUACAGGUAACACACUGAUGCUGAUUUAAAGAGCAAUGGGCUAAGUGCUGCCAGAUGUUCAGGACAGUAAACAGAACAUAGUCCAGGCAGGGCCACAUAGAUACUGGAUCGGGGCUCAAGAAUGAUGGGAUACAUGAAGGUUCAGACAGAGAAUUAGAUUGAAAUCCAUUUCUUAGCUUGAAGUCUUUAAAAUAUUGUGAAAUAAGUCCCUAAAUAAACUUCAAGGGGCUUUGCAUCCCAUUCCAUUCUAAACUUGCAUGAUUUUGUACUUGGGUAUGGCUUUCUUCAGAGUUUUAAAGGAAUACACAUAAGAAAAUGUUUCAGGAGUGGAGACCUAAGGUUGAUUGUUUUAAGACUGAGAUGGACCCUAUGCUGAGAUAUCUGAAUAGCAAACUGCUUCCUAAGGAAUGACGGGAAGGACUCAGAGUACGUGCAAGAGUCACCCCAGCAAUAGGGUUCAGUGCCCUCCAGAACUUGGGGAGAGGUAGGAAAAUAUCAGGCAAAAUGAGACCCUAUUCCCUUUCUGAAGGGUUUUCUCUCUCUAGCCAGAGUUGCAAUAAUGAACAAAAGUACCACUGUUAGCCUCAUGAGUGGGAAUUUGCAUGCCUCCUUUCCAUUGAACAGCAUCCAUAGUAGUGGAUGAGUAGAACAGCCCUUCAUAUGGAAUUGGACAACUAUGGGUUAACUGUGUUAUUGGACAACUAUAGAUUAAUUGAGUAACUAUGUUCUUUGUAGAGUGUACCUGAGUAACCAUGACAAUUUUUGUAAUCUAUCACCAAAGGAGCGUGAGGGACUCAGAAAGUAUUGCCAGAACUCUACUUUUCCCCUCCCUCUACUGCACUGCUUCCUUUAUUUCCAGGGGAACUCCAAUGGAAUUAAGCUUCAUAGAUAUAAAAAAAGGUAUAUAAAGAAGCACAAACUUCUAUUUGAGGAUCUUGAGACUGACAAGAGUCACUUGUUGAGUUGCCAGCAUUAAAAGUUGCUUUGUGCUUCUAUCUUUAUGUUAAGAGUAGUGUGUCUGGGGUCCUCGGUUUUCUGCUUCAGUUUAGGACAUGGAUUCAUUCACAUAUUCAUCAAAUGCUUCUUUGGUGCCUACAGUGUACUAGGCCCUAUGUAGCCACAUAGUGCACUGGUUUCUCACUCUCAUGAAAUAUUCUAAUAUGACACUCUGACUAUGAAAAAAUGUAAUUAAAAUUAUAACUAUAAUUGAGAUAUAAAAUAAAUUAGCAAGGUUCAACAACUGCAUUAAUUAGGAAUGAUUUGGUUAUGCUACAGUAACAAGCAUCUCCCUAGAAUUCAUAGAUUCAUAGAAUUCAUUCCAUAGUUACAUUUCUGGGGCUUUGCUUCACAUCAUCAUCACUCAAGGUUGUAGGCUGAGGAAUUCUGUAAGCACUAAUAGUUUCCAAAGCACAAAGACAAUAAAGCCAAUCAAAUACCCUGUCCUUAAACCAUCACUUCUGUUCACAUUUUUUUCAAUAAAUAAUAAAGUAUGCCUGGGAACUACUUUAGAUUAGGUGGUCAAAACAGUCCUUCAUAAAAAGGUUGACAUUGGAGAUUUGAAGGAUGAGAAAAAGCUGGCCAUUUGCUUAUGGAAAUGAUAUAACUAAGAAAAGAAGAUUCUGGUCAGAGAGAAUAGCAUUCCUGGUCAAUAAUGAGUUUGGAAUUUUCUAGGACUCAAAGAAUUUGGAUAUCUUCUGGAAACAGUAGGUAAAGAAGAGAAUGGAUGAAAACAAGGCUGAAAAGGUAGCCUGAUGUUUGCUCUUGAAGUGCAGUAGGAAGCUUUUGAAGAUUUAAAGGAGUUAAGUGACAUGAUCAGAUUUAGAAUUCAACAGCUUCUUCUUGUGGAGAUUAUCAUGGGACAUGAUGAUAAGCCACAUCUUCUAAGGGAUUUGCAUCUGCCUGGAUUUUUUAAAAGUGAUUGAAGACCUUUUCAUCUGAAUUCAGACAAGAACACUUGGCAUAGGUAAUAAAACAGCUGAAAAACGUUGUUGUCCUUUGAAAUUCCUGCUGUGCUCUCUGGAUCUUCAAUCAUCAGAAGAAAAUCCUAGCUGAUAGGGUACCAUGUAGCAUGGAGAGUGACUCAUUAUGCAUGGUUUCCACGCCUUAAAGUGUACUUAAUUCUUUGAUGACUUCAGUUUUAACUGAGGCAGUUGUUUAAACAGAAGAUACAUGGUAUAAAGAGAAAAGAAUGACAUUCUACGUCACCUUGAUAAUCAAAUCAGUCUUUGUGAUUGAUUUAGUGACUCUAGUUCUUAAUUUUCUAUUAACAAUUUCUCCUCUGUCAGAAGUACAACUAAUGAAUAAGCAACUUUUGUAAUCCAUUAGUCAACUUAUAAAUCCAGAUAAAAUUUCUUCCAUAAAAUCACCAUUUUAUGUUUUUGUUGGCUCAAGUUCAAACAUUUGCAGUUCUUGGGAAUUUAUAGCUUCCCUGUUGUACUCUUGCUAAAUGUAGUAUCAGCCAAACUUAAAAUCAAACUUGUAUGUUUUUAUUGCACCACAUAUAAAGUGUAUAGCAUUAAAAAAAGAAUGAUUUCUUUUUCUCAGUGAAUUGUUCCAACUUCACUCUUUUGAAGUAUUCUUAAAAGUAGCUGUAAAUGAAAAUGGAAGGACUGGAUAUCUUAGUGCCUCAAGCACUUUAACCUUAUCUAUCAGGUCAGUUUGAUCUGUUUGACAGACACAUCAACGAGAGGGAAUAUAGUUGGUGGGAAACAAGAUAUUAGCAGGCUCAAAUGCAUGGUGAGUAGCAGUCUGUUAUUCCCUUAUCAGGGCUACAUUGUUUUCUCAAUAAGCCUCUGAAUUAAACAGCCAUCACAUUCCAAUGCAUAUCAGUUAAAGACAUUUCAAUGAAUUAUUUUCAGACUUCUCAUAAGUAAAUUGAUUAAUGUUUGCUUAAUUCCAUGUAUUCUUAUUAAAUUGGUAUGCUACAGCCUUAUUGCUCUCUGAACAUGAUAAAUUAUAUAAAAUCAUCAAAGAAAACGGUAUGAAAUUAAUCUAAUUUCAUAGUUAAUUAUAACAUAUGCUAAAAUGAUGGGAGUAGGUAGUUUUAACCCUGCUAAAAAUAUUGAUGAAAUACUAUGUUAUAAAUUAAAUGUAUAUCAUCUAUUAUACAUAAUAUAUAGUUAUAUAUAUAACAAUAUAAAACACUUCUUUUGAAGUUUAUCUCUUUUCCCAUUCUUGAAAAUGGCAGCACCAUUUCCUAAACUUCAAACUUGAGUGUUAUCUUCCAUUGCUCUCUCCUCUCUCUCUCUCAAUAGACUGAUAGAUAAAUAGAUAGAUAGAUAGAUAGAUGGAUAGAUAUCUUUCUGUCUUGUUGCCAACUCAGCCUAAUAUUUCCUUCUUUCCUUCACCAUAGACAUGACAUUCUCCACAAACUUACAUCUCACCACUAUUCUCCCAAUCUUCAGUAAAAUGGCAGCUUUCACAAUGUGUCCUUUUUCAAGAUGAUCACAUUUAGAAAACAGUGUGGUUUUUCUAAAAUUACAGCUGAGCAAGAAAAAACAGAAGUAAUGUGUUGAUAUGAAAUUGACACAGAAAGAAGAGACAAUAAUUUCUAGGACACUAGAGUCACUGUAGAAUCUCAUAAAGAUAAGGAAUUAAGGUUUAAGUCAAGUUUAACCUGGUACAUUAUUUAGAGCUUUUAGAGGCAGAAUCAAUGGAAAAUAUAUGCAUAAUUAUGCAAAGGAGGUCAUUACUUUGGCUUACAGGAUCAGAGGUGGAAUAGUCCACUAGGGUGGUCUACAAGAAUCCACAUGCUAGUUUCUGCACUGGAGAGAUAGAGGAUCCAGUAGGUGCUCAGCCAAAGAAGAUAUAAGCUACAGAAAAAGGGGGAUCAAAGAUUCAAUAGCAGUUCAAGGUUGAAGGCCUGGAAGCUCACUGUAGAAUUUCACAUGUGAGUCUCCACCGGAAGGCUGAAGAAACUGAAGACUGAUGUCCAAAGCCAUUGCAAAGACUGGAGCUCUUUCAGGUAUGAUUUUUUCUUUCAACCAGGCUACAAGCAUUUUGGUAGAUGCCUCCAAAAUCUGGGGGCCAUGAAGGUGUCUUCUUUCCUGUUUUCUGGCCUACAUGUUAAUCAUGCACAGGCACGCCUAGAACUUUGCUUUACUAAUCUGCUGAGCUUUUCCUAUUCCAUACAAUUUUACAUACCCUGAUUAAUAGUCAUGCCAGAUAUCAGAAGAAAAGGAAAUCCCAGCUGAUAGUUGAGUUCAAUGUUGAGAUAUGAUUAUUACUGACUUUAUUAUAGCUUCUUUUUCUCUAGACCACUACUACUAUCAUCAUUUCUAAAUUUUUUAAUGCCUGCUACAUAUAAAGCGAUUUGCAAAACACUAUGAAAAUAGUGUCUCUUGUUCUUAUCAUCCUCACAAAUUGGAAGAAUCUCAAUUCCUAUAUUAUACAAGGCAUAAUAGUGUAGAAGAGAACACAGUAUAGCACAUUCCCUACCUCCAGCUUAUACUUAGGCCCUGAGGUCCCUAUUUGCUGGUAGUCUCUUGUUUGUUUUUUAAUUGUUGAAAACCACACUGAUUAAAUCCUCACUGUCUGGCACACUACAGAUUAAUCUGACUCAGACCAAAAUAAUUCCACUUUAUAAAAAUAAUUCCAUUUUAUAAAAUCAAUGAUUUUAUAAAAGAAAUUUGAGGGUCAAGGAAUGAAGUUAGUGGCCCACAGACAUAGAGCUAGAGUCAGAGCUGAAACUCAAUUUUAACUCUCAGAAUCUUUACUGGGAUGCUUAGCUUAUGGCUUCCUAGAAUGUCUCUCCCAAGAACAAUAUAUUUGGAUCUUUAUUCCUUUAUGUAAACAAAAUAAAAAUAUUUCUUGAAGACUUCCUAACACUGUGCUGGCUAUUUUAUCCUUAAGAACAUAUAAGCCUUGGCUUUUAAGGGGCAUACAUAAAAGAGGGUUGAGAAAGUUGCACUGUUUAAGGAUUAACUCCAGCAGGAUACUAGGAAUGGGUACGGGCUGAGGAGUCUAAGGAGAAGAGCUGGCUGGUGGGUGGGCAGGAAAAUUAAGCAGUCUUUCACAAUUAGGUGAAUGUCUGCUCAGGAAGGAAGGAAGGAAGGAAAGAAAGGAAGAGAACAAAAGAAAGAAGAAAAGAAAGCAAGCAAGCUAGCUCCAGAUCCAUUUCUGAGCUAAAGAUUUUUCAUAAGUAUGCUUUUAUAGUAGGUGCCCCUUUGAGUAGUUACAGCCAUAUUAGCCCAUAGCUUAGCUGGAUGUCAGUGUGAAUCAUUUCUGAAUUCUUGUUCAAGGGAAAAGUUCUAUAAACUUGUAAUAGAAUGUUCCAAAUGAAGAGACCAUACUCUGAAUGAUCCCCAUUUUUGUGGUCAUUAUUAAUUUUAAAAAUGUGUAAAACUGAUUACACAGAUCCCUUGUUUUGUUUUUAAAUUUGGUUAUACAUUUUUGUUUUCUGUUGAUUUGUGUGUGUUCCUCACAUAUUUUGCAUAUUAACCUCUUGUCAGUUAUAGUUUGCAAGUAUUUUCUCACAAACCAUAAGCUUCCCGGUCAUUUUAUUGUUUCCUCUACUGUGAAGAAACUUUUUCUUUGACAUAGGUCCAAUUAUUUUUCCUUUCAUUGCUUGAGGUUUUCAUAUGAUAUCAAAAAAAUCAAUGGUUAGGAUCAAGGAGGUUUUCUCUUAUGAUCUUUUAGGAUAUUAAUGUAUGUUAAUAAAGCAUAUUGCAUGCCAUAUAUAUACACACAAUAUCAUAAAUGUAUAUGUAUUUAUAUAUACCUCUAAUAAUUACUGUAUGUAUUUAUAAAUGACAUGUUUCAAUUUACACAGAUUAUUAUUUCAUUCUGGAGGUAAUAGGUAACUACUGUAGGUUUUGACCCCUUGCUCAUAGAUUACUCAAAAUCCUGUGAACAAGGGCAAAUUACUUCUCCAGGUUUCUGUUUCUUCACCUGUAAAAUGCAGAGUGAAUAUAUGGCAGGAGCCUCAAAGCAUUUUUGUGAGGGCUAAAAGAAUAAAAAACAGGUAAGGUGCUUGGCAUGGAGAAAGUCCUCUAUGAAUUUUAGCUGUUACUAUCUGAUUUGAUUUUUUUAUAGUAACACUGUAGACUCAGUAGCAGUAUAUAAUUAUUCUAUUUAAUAUAUCAUCCAACUGUCACUUGGGCUUUGAAACCAUUUAAGAUCUUUAUAAGAUUGGUCGUGGAUUGUGAAAGCCUAAGGCUCUUUGCUUUUUCAAGUUCUUCGUAGAUUGCAUUUUCAGGUCCUUUUCUCCACUCCUGAGAAAGAUGAUCUCUUUUUUAUUGAGAACCCUCUCUUCAUAUCACCCUUCUUUAUCAUCAAACGUCAAUACAAAUAUACCUUAGCAUAUAAAGCUCUUCAGUGUAAUAGAACUAUUUAAAAAACUCCAGGUAUUGGAUAAGGGGUGAAGUUGUACUCUACACAGAAAACAACUUAAAAUUUUAUAUCAGGACAUUCUCCUACUGUUUUAGAAAUUUUUAAGAUUGAGUUCAUCUAAUGUUAUUCCUGCAUAUGUUUAUCAUCUUGCUGUCUUUUAUCUCUUUGCCUGUCAUUUUUAUUACUUUUUCCUUCUUAUUUCACCUUCCCUACAUACUCCAUAGUGAGAAUCAAAUUUAUCUCAUUCUUUCUAGCUCAUGUAUGCAAAGAAAUUAAUCUUCCUUUUUUUGUUGUUUGGUCUUGGCUCUUGUCCUCUCAGGAUCUUAUGCAUCUUAUUAUGUUAUUAUGGACUUUCUUUUCUUCUUGGUACCAGGGAUGGAAUUCUGGACCUUGCUCUUGGGAGGCAGGCAGGGGCACCACUGAGCUAAAUUCCCGGCCCUAUCACAGACUUUCUUUAACAAAGAUAAUUCUCUUCUGUACAUGAACCAAUUGCUAAGAAUAUUGAUUUUUUUCCUGCAUUAUAAACACAUAAUUAAACCAAAGCAGAGAGAAUUUAUGUGAAUUGUUUAUAUUUGCUUUUGUGAUAUUUAGCAGAACAUGGGCUUGAACUGAAUUGCUUGGACUCAAAUCAAGAACACUGUCUUAUUUAAGGAAUACUUAAGAGAUAGUUUAGUGUUUUGUCUUUUAGCAUAUUUACUGAAUAUGUAUUCUGUUAGCAUUAUGUUAGAGAUUAAAAGUUUCAAAGAUGAUUCAGACUUACUCAAUCUACACUCCCCAAAUAACUUAAAAAUUUACAAUAGGCACAUGAAUUAUUAGCAAGUCACAAGGCAAAUGACCCUGUGUCAACUACAGUAGUUCUGUUCUUUCAAAUACUAUGUUUUGGGCUAUGGGCUAAGACAUUUGUUGAAUAAUUAGUUUAUAGUUAAAGAGAAAAGGAAAUUAAUGAAAGGAAAAAAGGAGUAAGAUAAUCAUUACUAUAGAUAAUUACAGCGUCCUUUGAUUCACCAUUAUAUAGUUCCUUAACAUUUUUUCUCUGAGUUUUCAUAGCUUGUAAUUUUAUUCCUUCUUGCUUAAGUAAGAUAAAAUUAACCAAACUCAAUCUAUUCACCUGUUUUUAUUAACAUUUGGUCAUAUUUUCUUUUAAUGUUUUCAUAACAUAGACAGAUACUUUCACAGAAACAUCUUUCUGCUGAUAAUUGGUAUUGUGAGCUAACCUACGUUUCCUCAAAAUUCAUAUGUUGAUAUUCUAAUUCUCAGUAACCUAGAAUAUAACCAUAUUUGGAAAGAAGGUUUUCAAGGAGUAAUUAAACAAAGACUGUUAAAGCAGGGCCCAUUAAAUACAGCAAUUGUCCUUAUAAAAAGACACAGAGACACCAGAGGUGAGCAUACACUCAUGAAAGGCCAUAAGAGGAAAUAUGGCCAUCUGUAAGCCAAGCAGAAAUGUCUCAGGAGAAACCAGAUCUGCUGAUACCUUGAUUUUGGUUUUCAUAGCCUGCAAAUUAUAAGGAAAUAGAUUUAUGUUGUUGAACAAUGCAAUCUGUACUUUGUUCUAUGGCAACCCAACUAAACUCGUGCAAUUGGUAUUAAGAUUUUUCCACAUUUCAUUUUUAGAUCAUGAGCAUUUUUCCACAUCAAUAAAAAUCUUUCAGCAGAUAAUAUGCCACUAUAAGAAAACAUCAUAAUUGAAUUAUCUAUUUCCUAUUAUAAAACAUUCAGCUUUUGUUUUUAUUUACUGAAAGAAUCUUCAAAGUUAAGAAUUAAUUAAAUCAUGGAAAACACCUUACCUGUUUUUUAUUCUUUUAGCCUUCACAAGAAUGCUUUUAGGUUCCUGUCACAUAUUUACUCUGCAUUUUACAGGAAAGCUACUAAGUUAAUUAUCUGUGGUAUAAUUAUGCUGACAGCGUGUUUCACCCAAGAGUGGUAAUAUAGGCAUUGUAUUUUCCACUGGAAACAGUGCUGUUUACUGCAGUGGUGCUUCUUUACUGUUAGGACAGGUAGGACAGGUAAGGCCUGUCAGCAAGUCCAUUAUAAACCUCCAUUUUUAGGGCUUUAAAACUCUGCUGUUAAGACUUGAUUUGAAAUUAAACUCUCCAGAAUCAAUUUUCCCAUUUUCUGUUUUAAACCUUUUAACUUUCAUUGUGACUUGGUUUGAAUUUCAUUACAAUGAUAAAAGGGGUUACUAGCUGGAGCUUACUAUUUUCUGAUUUUGUUUUUUGAUUCUUUAAAUCCAAUGCUUUGUUUUGAAAUAGAAUUUCAUAGACCAUUACUUGAUCAUAUUGAUUAGUUCAGCUUUCUAAGUUACUUUAAUACAAAGCUACAGAUAUUAAAUCUCAAUAAAAGAAUGCAUAUCUCUAAUGAAUGUUUCACAGUUAGUUAGCCCACAUCCUGAUAAUACUUCUCACAAUUCUGAAGCAAAGACGACAACUGCCAAACACUUUGCUCUGGUACAUUAUUUUAUGAGAAUAAAUUUUUCUUGAGACAAAUAAAGUCAAUGACAUGGUAGGAAGACCAUCCUGUAAUCAGGAAUUUGGGGUCCAAGCCCUGCCUGGCUCAAUGAAGCACUAUAACCUUGAAUAUCUGCAGUGACAUUGUUAAAUGUUGUCAGACUGAUUACUUGUGUGAAGAAGCUAAUGCAGCCCUACUUCCCCAUCCACCACUGCUGCUGGGGGCUAAGGAAAGAGGAAAGAAGCACAUGUGCUGUGUAACUUGUAAAUGGUAGUCAUUGUUAUUAAUUGGUAUGCAGAUAUGCAGAUGAGAACUAUGUUGACCUUUUCAAGCAGAUAAUGAUAUGUUAGUACUCUCUUUAGAUGAAGAUAGUACACUACAUGAAAAUGCUGUGAGAUUUUACUAAAAUAAGGAGAAGGAGAAAUCCUGUUUGUAGAUUUUAAGCAUUUUCUAUUAUGUCAUGGAAUAUCUCUCUGAAAGUUCACAUUCCUAUUUUGUCUGUUUUGAGAAAUAGUUUUUUUAAAACAUUAUUUGAAAUGCAGAGACACAAGCAGCAAGCUAUAUUUCUUGGAGUUUGACUCACACUGCUAUUUUUAGUUAUUUAAAUUGUUAUCUUUAGACACUUUUUGUUGAUUUACAUGAAAAUCGUUUUAAUGUACUUUACCUCAUGUGCACCUAAUUCAUUUAUAUCAGGAACCUAAACUAAACACUUAGUGUAGAUUUGGUCACAUCUUAGAACAGAGAACACUCAGUAUUCUUUACUUUAGUUUGCUAAUUGGAAAACAUCAGUAAUGGAAAAUGUACAAAUCAGUUUGGACAAGGGAACUAUUUCUUGACUUUUUAAUUGUUAAAUGAGGAAUAAUUAGCAAGAAAGACAUUCUAGUUUUUGUAGAAGAAGUAUAGAAGAGUCAUGUAUUAAUGAAAAACAAACUUGACUAUAAAAUUUUCAGAUACUAAAUAGAUAGAAAAGUAACUUGUAUUAUGGAGAUGCAAAAUAUAUUUCUUCCCUAAAUCUACUCCUACCUAACUGGGGCCUUAUCUAACAUAUCGACCUUGGUCAUUAUAUGAAUAACUUCUAAAGUUGUGUGCGAGACAUUGUACACUUGGAUCUAUACAUUACAAUACCUGCGACUUUUCUCUAAAAGCUAACCUUUCUGAAUUAUUGAGAAACAUAAUUCUUAUGAGCUACAAGAAUUUAACACUCAGGGUAUUCUAAAGAAGAGUGGAGUUGGGAGCAACUGAAUUAGAGAUCUCACUUAUACUUAAAUAGGCUUAUGAUUCCUACCUUAGGUCAAAUCAUUCACUACAUAGUCUCCACCUCCGUUUCAAAAUUCUAUCAUAUUCAUCUUCCAUAGCUCCAUUCCAGAGCUGCCUCCCCAUGGAAUCAGACCUGAAUCUUCCAUGACGAGUGUGAUAACAAUUUGUUGAGAUUCUUUCCACUUUUAUAGCACACUUUAGUUGCAUAUAUUCAGUGUGAGAGCAAUUUUUCAUGAGUUAUUUUCCUCAUUCCUAGAAGUAACUUGUAGGCUCUCUAGCAAUAGGGAGCAUAUUAAAUUUUCUUUCCCCAUCCUCUGGCUUAGUACACAUCAUUCACAUACACUUCAUAUGUUGUCAAUAAUAUUUAUCAAGUGGAAUUCAAAUCGUGAUUUCAGACUUAAAGAAGAAAGGGGACAAAGAUGGAAGAAGAUGGUUCCAGGUGCUCCUGCAAUGAUUUAGAGAGGGUAUAUCAGAUUUGAGGCCCCAGGACAAUUUGAGUGUUUUUGACACUUUAAUUUCAGGCUUCAAUUUCAGAAUUUAAGUCUCUUCCUAAAGAAUGUAGAAAAGUGAUUAAGCUGAAACUCAAAUACCCUCUAGAAAUAGGCCUUCUCAGGAUAUGUAAAUUUUAAUUCCAAGUAAAAACAUUUAGUAUGAUUAUAUCUCAUGUAAUAAAUGGUGCAAUAAGAAUUGUGGUCAAAAUGUGCAGUGAAUAUUUAAAUUACAAAUUUAUUACAGUAAAAGACACAUUGCCAUUAAUUCCUAUCAAGCUACUCCUUUGCAAACACUGGCCCCAUCAUUUUUGCUACUUUGUGAAGUGGUUCUGAAAGUCUUCUUUAACAGUGAUACGUGAAUGCCUAAGAUUAGAGCGGCACAAUUCAUAAUAGUUAUAUCUUGGAAGUGGCCUAUAUAUGAGUGUCUUUGUGAGUUGUGAUUUAAAAAUGUAUGAUGAAUGUUCCCCCUGAGUGUCAUCCAAUGGAAAGGCAGGCUUGUAAAAACAUGAUGGUGUGUCCUCAUCACCUUAUUCAGUGAAUCUGGCCCUAUGCAAUUUCUGGCUUUUCUACAGAGUUAAGAUGACUAUGAAAGCUAAAUAUUUUGAAUCAUUUUAGGACACUGAGGCAGCUAUGACAGGGCAACUGUAGGCACUCAUGAAAGAGGACAGGAGUUUCCAAAUGUAAUCAGGUUAAAAUGAAGUAAAACUGGAUAAAAGUAGGCAAUAAAUCCAAUCCACAAUUUCUUAGAAGUGAUACAGACAUAUAGAAAAAAAGGAAAUGUGAAGACAGUGGACCGACCAUAAUGAUGCAUCUCUAAACCAAGAAGACCAAAGAUUGCCAGCAACCACUAGAAGCUAGAAGAAUCUAGGAAAGACUUUGUCCAGAACAUUCAGAGACAGCAUAUUCUUGAUGAUGUAUUGACUUCAAUUUUUAAUCUCUGCUGCUGUGAGAUAAAAAUUUAUGUUAGUUUACACCAUCCAGUUUGUAAUAGUUUUUAAUGGCAAUCUUUGAAAACUGAUAUACUGGAUAUCCUAUAUUUUUAUUUGCCAUAUUUAGAAGUCCUAUUGAGGAUUAUUUUGUUCUCUUAAGAAUUCUCAGGCAUCUAAUAGUAACAGGAUGCAUUGUAGCUAUAACUUUAAAAAUCAAAUAAUUUAAAAGAUGAGGAUUCCAUAGAUCUUUGAAUUGAUUGUUAGAGGCAAUAGCUGUUUGGUAAAAUCCAACAUCAUCCAAAAACUCAGUGGAAUUGUACAUAACUAUGUGCAUAUGUUUUUUAAAAAAUUACCCUGCUAGCUAUCUUCUACUCUAUUAAAAGCAUGAUCAGAAAUAAAUUUCUACAAGUUAUGAGCACAUAACUGCAUAUACUCAUGGACAUUUGAAUGCCCCUGUGUAUAAUUUCCGGGAGGAAGGUUACCUGCAUACAAUUCCCAUGCAACUUGAUGCUUCCUUGCCUGAUGGUCUUUCUGCCUGAGAAUGCUCUAUUGAUGCUGUUGCUGGAAUAGUUGGCAUCACAGGGCCAGAAGAACCAGAAAGUUCACAUUUUUGAAGUGAUCCUCAACUAAGAACAAAAGACAGUUGAUACAUAUGUCAACUCUGCAAGUUUGCCUGUUUGUCUGUCUAAUUGUGGUGUUGGAGGUGAAACCCAUAGUCAUGCAUGAUAGACAAUUGCUCUACUAAUGAGCUACAUUUCCACAUUUCUAGCUCUUCUCUGAGCUCUUAGAGUUACAAUUGUGUGGUUCAUUUCACAUUCUCAUAGAUGUCUUCAAUAGGAUCCAGCUCUGUUUGCUCACAGAUAUGACUUGUUCAAUUCAUUUUUAUUGGCUUCCUCUGUUUCUUGGUCAUCUCACUUGCUGACGUAUCUGCUUCCUGAAAUCACUUUCCAAAUAAAAUAUUUAUUACUAAACCUUUGUCUCAGUGACCUUUUUCUAGUUUGUUCUUUUUUUCUCUCGCUGCCUCUACCCUUCUUACUUUUAGAAGAACCCAAAUAAAAACAAAGUGAAUGCACAUUUUAAAAUAAAUACCAUUAAUUACUUUCCAGAAGUGAUAAUUCUGCAUGCAUUCAUUCCAAAUGGCUGUUACUUUUAUUUUUACAAAACUGAAUCAAAGAUUUGCCAAAAUUUCUGAAUUCUGUGUGACAAAGAUAACCCUUGGAGGCCUGAUGGGAGCAGAACACUUCUGACGGUAGAUUACAUCAUUUACAAAUGCAGUGGUUGAGGUUUUAAUGGAAUUCUCAAAUGCCUAACUAUAAAACCAAUUGUACUUUUACCUAGUGACUUCUAGAGCUUUUUAUUUCUAUCUUUAUCUGAUAAGUAUGUUCACCUCUUUCAUCUGGCUUGAAACCUGGAAAAUUCUCAAAAUGGAACAUUUAGACAAAAUUUUUUUCCAUUUAGUCUUUCAAUUCCUAAAACAUAACCAUUUCUAAUAUAUAACUGCCUUUUUCUUGAAAUUCCUCUUUGGAAAAAGUCACAGGACCUAUGCUAACAAAUUCUAAUUGACUUUUAAAAGUGAUAGACCAUUUUGAAAUCUAAUAGGUGAAAGUACUACUAGUUUUCUUGUCUCUACCCCAUUAUUUAUGUUUCAAGAAUGUGACAAGUAAUGUUUUAACAUUACCAUAAUAGGCUAUCUGUAUGUCUGUUACAAUAAAGCAUUUAAGGAAAAUGAGGCCUCUUUAGGUUUAGUAAAAGGCACUUCUACCAACUCUAUCCAAACUCAUUUAAGCAUAUACAAAUACAAAGCAUAGACAAUUCUUAGACACUGCUUCCAUCAAACUAAAUAAAUUACUACUAUACCACUCUUUAAAUAACUGAGAUGCCUGGAGAAAGGUACUUUUUUUGUUUUGUUUUGUUUUUGCCAAUUCUUAAAUCAAUGCUGAAUCCUCUAAGAGAUCCUUCAAGUGACCUUGUUUUAAUUAAAUUCUGAAUCCUAAUAAUAGAAAAUAAUAUACCACAUGAUUUUAUUUAUACAUGGAAUCUAAACAUGUUUGUCUUAUUAAAGCAGAGUAGAUGGCAGCCACUAGACAAUGGGUUGAUUGGGGCAAAGGUUGAGGAUACAUUAGUCAAAGGAUACAAAGUUUUGCUUAUUAAAAUAAAUAAGUUUAAGACAUCUAGUGUGUGACAUGAUGAUCGAUACAUAGGAUGUACUGUAUUUUGAAAAAUGCCAAGAGUGGAGGUAAAAUUUUUUUUUCCACAGAUGAUAGCUAUAUAAGUUAAUGUACAUGUUAAUUAGCUAUAAUCAUGUAAAAAUACUUCAAAAUAUAUAUGUACUCUAAAACAUGUACAUGGUAAAUGCACACAUAUUGAUCUGUCAAUUUUAAAAAAUUAACAAGGAAUGAAUUUGAGAAAAUUUUCUUUAUGAUUAAUUAACUAGUUUUUUUCUUUAUAAAAUAGGCCACAAGCACAAUGGUAUGUGUAGAGUACUUAAGGUCAGACAACAAAGGCUUGUAUCAUGGACACAGCCAUUUAUCCUGAGCUUGUUCAGUCCUAUAGCACUGGAAAACAUUAAUUCUGUGGUGAAAAUCAUAAUAAAAAGUAAUAACAUAAUAACAAGAUAAAGACAAACAUCAUGUAUUUGUGUGUGCACGUGUGUGUGUGUGUGUGGGGGGGUGUAUCUUUGAAAGCCAGCAGAUCGUAGGGAAAGAUCAUAGAGGGAAAUGUUGAAGUUUUACUCAAUGAGUAAUUGAGUAAAUCUGAUUAGGAUAAUUGAGAGAUGAAUAUGUUGAGAGAAGAGAAAAUAUUAAUUUUUGAUUACUUAAUUCAUCCAAAAAUGUGUCUUUUCAUCGUACUCUGCUUUAUGCAAAUGAAACUUGCUAUGAAUAGUCCAGGUAAGAUUUCAUAUCCUUAUUUUCAUUUUGCAGAAAACAAUGCUAUGAGAAUAAAUUAUUAUACAAUAUACAGUAUUG